UACGUAGGGUGCGAGCGUUAAUCGGAAUUACUGGGCGUAAAGGGCUCGUAGGCGGCCAACUAAGUCAGAUGUGAAAUCCCCAGGCUUAACCUGGGAACUGCAUCUGAUACUGGAUGGCUUGAAUCCGGGAGAGGGAUGCAGAAUUCCAGGUGUAGCGGUGAAAUGCGUAGAUAUCUGGAGGAAUACCGGUGGCGAAGGCGGCAUCCUGGACCGGCAUUGACGCUGAGGAGCGAAAGCUAGGGGAGCAAACGGG
rnacentral:rRNA from 1 species